UGGCACAGUAGGUAGCGCGUCAGUCUCUCAAGCUGAAGGUCCUGAGUUCUAUCCUCAG
rnacentral:tRNA from 1 species